CUAAAUUUUAUGCAAUCUCUUUUAAGUAUAUUUUUGUCUUUCUAUCCCAGGAACCCAGCUAUAUUUUAAAACCAAGUACCAAAGCCACCUACACAAACCACCUGCUCAUAACCAGAUUCACAGGCUCAGCUCUCUUCUCCUUUUCUGGCCAAGCAGCUAUAUUAUUCAAGAAAAAAGUGUUUUAGAUGAAUGGCAUGACCCUCAAAACAAGAAGAUGUGCUGCUUAAUUAAUUGUCUGCAAAACAGUGGAAAAAUAGAUGAAAUAAAAGAUGGAAAGCCU
rnacentral:lncRNA from 13 species